CUGGAGGGGCUGGAGGAACUGGUACUGGAACACAUACUUCACAUGGAGUUAACCAAUGUGGAGCUAUGCCAAAAGUUGAAAAUAGUGAGGUGGUCAAAACUCUUCCAAAUGGUUUGAUCUAUCGAUGUAAUGUUUAUUACACAUUAGUGGGUCCACAGCAAGUGGUGUGCAACAGCGACGGCAGGUGGUCCAAACGACCCGUGUGCAGAGCCACCUUCUGCUCUCUGGACACCAAGGAAUAU